rnacentral:rRNA from 1 species
UACGGAGGGGGCUAGCGUUGUUCGGAAUUACUGGGCGUAAAGCGCACGUAGGCGGCUUUGUAAGUUAGAGGUGAAAGCCCGGGGCUCAACCCCGGAAUUGCCUUUAAGACUGCAUCGCUAGAAUUGUGGAGAGGUAAGUGGAAUUCCGAGUGUAGAGGUGAAAUUCGUAGAUAUUCGGAAGAACACCAGUGGCGAAGGCGACUUACUGGACACAUAUUGACGCUGAGGUGCGAAAGCGUGGGGAGCAAACGGG